GUGAACGCUGGCGGUAGGCCUAACACAUGCAAGUCGAACGGCAGCACAGUAAGAGCUUGCUCUUACGGGUGGCGAGUGGCGGACGGGUGAGGAAUACAUCGGAAUCUACUUUUUCGUGGGGGAUAACGUAGGGAAACUUACGCUAAUACCGCAUACGACCUACGGGUGAAAGCAGGGGAUCUUCGGACCUUGCGCGAUUGAAUGAGCCGAUGUCGGAUUAGCUAGUUGGCGGGGUAAAGGCCCACCAAGGCGACGAUCCGUAGCUGGUCUGAGAGGAUGAUCAGCCACACUGGAACUGAGACACGGUCCAGACUCCUAAGGGAGGCAGCAGUGGGGAAUAUUGGACAAUGGGCGAAAGCCUGAUCCAGCCAUACCGCGUGGGUGAAGAAGGCCUUCGGGUUGUAAAGCCCUUUUGUUGGGAAAGAAAAGCAGCAGGUUAAUACCCCGCUGUUCUGACGGUACCCAAAGAAUAAGCACCGGCUAACUUCGUG
rnacentral:rRNA from 1 species